rnacentral:rRNA from 1 species
CAAAUUUGAAAUCUGGCCCCUCGGGGUCCGAGUUGUAAUUUGUAGAGGAUGCUUUUGGUGAGGUGCCGCCCGAGUUCCCUGGAACGGGACGCCACAGAGGGUGAGAGCCCCGUCUGGCUGGCCGCCGAGCCUCUGUAAAGCUCCUUCGACGAGUCGAGUAGUUUGGGAAUGCUGCUCAAAAUGGGAGGUAUAUGUCUUCUAAAGCUAAAUAUUGGCCAGAGACCGAUAGCGCACAAGUAGAGUGAUCGAAAGAUGAAAAGCACCUUGAAAAGAGGGUUAAAUAGUACGUGAAAUUGUUGAAAGGGAAGCGCUUGUGACCAGACUUGGGCGCGGCGGAUCAUCCGGGGUUCUCUCCGGUGCACUUCGCCGCGCCUGGGCCAGCAUCAGUUCGCCGCGGGGGAAAAAGGCUUCGGGAACGUGGCUCCCCCGGGAGUGUUAUAGCCCGUUGCACAAUACCCUGCGGUGGACUGAGGACCGCGCAUCUGCAAGGAUGCUGGCGUAAUGGUCACCAGCGACCCGUCUUGAAACACGGACCAAGGAGUCGUCUUCGUAUGCGAGUGUUCGGGUGUCAAACCCUACGCGUAAUGAAAGUGA